CCCUUAGAUGUUCUGGGCCGCACACGCGCUACACUGGCAGGUUCAUCGAGCUUCAUGCCCUGAUCUGAGAAGAACGGGAAAUCUUUGAACACCUGCCGUGCUUGGGAUAGAUGUUUGCAAUUAUUCAUCUUCAACGAGGAUUGCCUUGUAAGCGCACGUCAUCAGCGUGCAUUGAAUACGACCCUGUAUUCUGUACACACCGCCCGUCGCUCCUACCGAUUGAAGUUUUCGGUGAAUUUACUGGAGAUCCCUUUUGAAGGUGGUUCGCCACUGGAAGAAGUAUCCAAAAGUAAAUGAAUCGAAUGCUUUAGAGGAAGGAGAAGUCGUAACA
rnacentral:rRNA from 1 species